CAGGAUCUCCGGAUGGAAAUUUCAAGUCACAUUACAUAUGGCAAAAGAUGCUGCCUAUGAUAUGUCAAUAUCCGGUCAUCUCCCGCCUCAAGCUUGAUCUUAUAUACAGGAUCUCCGGAUGGAAAUUUCAAGUCACAUUACAUAUG